AUUGAACGCUGGCGGCAGGCCUAACACAUGCAAGUCGAACGAGUGGCGGACGGGUGAGUCAUGUCUGGGAAACUGCCCGAUGGAGGGGGAUAACUACUGGAAACGGUAGCUAAUCCCGCAUACCAUAGGAUGUGCCCAGAUGGGAUUAGCUAGUGGGUGGGGUAAUGGCUCACCUAGGCGACGAUCCCUAGCUGGUCUGAGAGGAUGAACAGGCACACGGGAACUGAGACACGGUCCAGACGCCUACGAGAGGCAGCAGUGGGGAAUAGUGCGCAAUGGGCGCAAGCCGGAUGCAGCCAUGCCGCGUAUAUGAAGAAGGCCUUCGGGGUGUAAAGUACUUUAAGCGAGGAGGCGUUACUCGCAGAAGAAGCACCGGCUAACUCCGUGCCAGCCGCCGCGGUAAUUC
rnacentral:rRNA from 1 species